CACCCUGCGGAAGAAACUCAUUUCAAGUGCUUGUAUCCGCGAUCUCGUCCUUUCGGUCACUACCCAGAGCUCAUGACCAUAGGUGAGAGUAGGAAUGAAGACUGACCGGUAAAUCGAGAGCUUCACCACAACGGUCCAGUACAGCACCACAUCACUGCAGACGCUGCACCGAUCCGCCUGUCAAUCUCACGCUCCAUCCUCCCCUCACUCAUGAACAAGACCCCGAGAUACUUGAACUCCUCCACUUGAGGCAAAGACUCUCCACCCACCCAGAGGGGCAAGACGCCUUUUUCCGGUCGAGAACCACGACCUCGGACUUAGAAGAGCUGAUCUUCAUCCCAGCCGCUUCACACUCUGUUGCAGACAGCCCCAGUGCACAUUGUAGGUCCUGGUUUGAUGGAGCCAACAAGACAACAUCUGCGAAAAACAGAGAUGAAAUCCUGUGGUCCCCAAACCGGACCCCCUCCGGCCCCUGACUACGCCUAGAAAUUCUGUCCAUAAAUACAAUGAACAGAACCGAUGACAAAGGGCAGCCCUGUUGGAGUCUGGUCUGACUUACUGCCGGCAAUGAACACAGCUCCUGCUCCUGUCAUACAGGGACCGGACAGUCCUUAGCAAAGGGCCCCGGACCCCAUACUCCCAGAGCACCCCCCACAGGACACCACGAGGGACACGGUCGAAUGCCUUCUCCAAGUCCACAAAGCACAUGUGGACUGUUUGGGCACUGUUGUACUUACUUACAGUUCCUGUGUUAUCUUGUGUGUGUGUAUAAGUACAGUACUUUUACUGUUGUACAUAGUUACUGUGUUGUGUUGUGUAUGUGCAGGUUGGCUGUGGGCAGUGAGAGUAGCUGUAGCUGCAGUACUUCUGCUUGUACUUGUCAGUGUGGUGGUCGUGGUCACAUGGAGGAGACGCAGAGUGAGGCCUGCAGGCAGCACAAGAGACCUCACUGCUGAACCUGAAGAAGGAGUGUCUUAUGCCACCGUCAGCUACAAUGCAAACAACCAGAGAACUGAGAUAAGACAGAGUGAAGCAGUGAUCUACAGCUCUGUGAAAAACACCACUGUGCAGGACUCUGCUCAGCUCUACGCCACCGUCAACUAAUAAACAACAACAACAACAACCAACAACCAACAACCC